rnacentral:sRNA from 1 species
UUUGGUUUAAGUCCUUAUCAGCUGGCCAACAGCCAGUGUAUGUCAUCUAUAAAAGCACUGCAAGCUAUGAUGGGUCACGUCACGUGAUCAGAGAUUUUGUGCUGUAUAAAUGGAGUCAAAAGGAAGAGCGGAUACCUGCACGAGACACCUGGGAACAACAGAGUAUUUUUUUCCAAAAAUGACCUGACAAAAAGUAGGACAGGGUUGGCUGGAAACUAAAAAUGGGUGUCUUUCUGUCAAUAAAGUGUGUUGAAACAGAAACCCCAUGUUUCUUAUGAAAGAAAGAAGGUGUUGCUGGAAAUUGCAGUGCGAUUUUAUCCAAGGGUUUCUCUCCUUCUGAAGCUGGAGAACUGCCCCUAAUACCUAAUAUGGAUCAAAACAUAAGGGCAUUUCAUGGAUUUCAACUGUGCUUCUCAAUUGCGGCUGCACUGCCUCUAAUGUUGUGUCUGCUAUUGUGCUCUGGCGCUAUAUUGCCACUAUUUGCUGCAAUUAAUAACAUGGCUUUAAAUGAUUUUUUUUAUUCCUAAUUGUGAAUUCUAGGAUACAAAAAGUUGUUGUAUUUUUGUUGAUGAAUAAAUAAUUUUUUUGCAGACAU